AGGACGAACGCUGGCGGCGCGCCUAAUACAUGCAAGUCGAGCGAGGUCCAUCGGGCUUGCCCGAGAAGACCUAGCGGCGAACGGGUGAGUAACACGUGAGGAACCGUGCCCCGAAGACCGGGAUAACCCGAGGAAACUCGAGCUAAUACCGGAUACCCCCAUUGAGAUCGCAUGGUCUUAUGAGGAAAUGUCUUUUCGCUUCGGGAGGGCCUCGCGGCCUAUCAGCUUGUUGGCGGGUAACGCCCACCAAGGCAUCGACGGGUAGCUGGUCUGAGAGGACGAUCAGCCACACUGGG
rnacentral:rRNA from 1 species